rnacentral:lncRNA from 1 species
GGUCAGGCAGGGAACAAUGACACUGGAGUGCGCAUGCACGAGACGACUCCAUGUUUUUCUUUCAGUCUAUGAAUGAAUAUAACGUCGCCCGGUUGGAAUAUUAUCGCUAUUUUACGAGAAAAAUAGCAUAAAAAUUUAUUUUAAACAGCGUUUGACAUGCUUCGAAGUACGGUAAUGGAAUAUUUUGAUUUUUUUUGUCACGAAAUGCACCGGCGCGUCACCCUUCGGAUAGUGACCUCAACGCAUGAACAAAACGGAGCUAUUUCAAUAUAACUAUGGAUUAUUUCGAACCAAAACAACAUUUGUUGUUGAAGUAAAAGUCCUGGGAGUGCAUUCUGACAAAGAACAGGAAAGGUCGCUGAGGCACUGUUCCAGCAGGUUUUCCAGCACUAUGGACUUCUGGAGGACAUCGUCUCCGAACAUGGCCCCCAGUUCACGCAGCGGGUAUGGUGAGCCUUCAUGGAGAAGCUGGGGGUCACGGUCAGCCUUACAUUCAGUGCUUCCUGGGUUACCAGCCGGCCCUGGCCCUGUGGACCCCGAGCUAGACCCUGUGGUGGACGAGUGGUUCCGGCGCGCAAAGGAGGUCUGGAGCCUUGCCCACGUGAGGCUCCAAUGCGCUGUCUGCCGACAGAAGGAGCAGGCGAACCGCUACCGCAGUGAGGUCCCGUGUUCCAAACCACCAGUAACCUCCUACUCCGCCUGCCCUGCUGGAAGCUGAGCCCCUGGCUGGUGUUUCCUGGUCCCCUGGCUGAUGCUGUCCCCCAUGACACCCUCCGCCACCCUUGGACAAUGAGGGAAGCCCCACCUAUGCCAUCAGAUCUCUCCUGGACCCCCAACAUUGUUGGGGUCGGCUACAGUACCUGGUGGACUGGGAGAGGUACGGUCCAGAGGAGCGGUGUUGGGUCCGGUGGAUGACAUUCUAGAUCCCAACAUCAUCCGAGAUUUCCACCUUCGCCAUCCGGACCGGCCCACUCCUCGCCCUCAGGGCUGUCCUGUGGCUGGAGCCUCACGUCAGGGGGUGUACUGCCAUGUCUAAUCCCGCUCCACCACUCCGGUGCGCAAUGUUGGUGGUUUACUAACCACAGUUCCUGGGAACCCAUCAUUACACACAUCUGGCAACCAUCAUUACGCACAACUGCGUCACAUCAUUAGGCACACCUAUACUUUAUCAAUACCCUGAUUAACCCCCUUUAUUUAGCCCUCAGUUGUCAUCAGUCCGUAGGUGUUAUUGGUUCUCUCACAUUCAGUACGCUUCCCAUGUUUGUUCUUUUGUAUCUGUUCAGUAUUAAACUCAAUUUCUGCACCUACUUUCUGACUCCUGGCGUAUACGCUACAAUCACGGUGGCAAGGCAUAUGAACUAACAGGAUGUAUAGACCAAACAACGCAAUUUUGACAACAUAUGGGUUGUAAUAUGACAAUUUUUUCCUGAUAGGGCUUCUCCAUUAAUUUUACC